UUGAACUCCUGACCUCAGGUGAUACACCUGCCUUGGCCUCCCACAGAGUUGGGAUUACAGGCAUGAGCCACCAUUCCUGGCCAACUGAAAAUUAUUUUUAUAUUUUUUAAAAGUUAAAGAAUGUUUUAUGAUAUAUGAAAGUUGUGGGAAAUUCAGAUUUCAGUAUUGAUAAAUAAGGAUUUAUUAGAGCACAGCCACAUUCAUUUAUUUAUAUAUUGUCUGUGGUUGCUUUUGCCCCAUAGUGGCAGAGUUGAGUAGAUGUGACACAGACUGGCCCGCCAGGGCGUAAAAUAUUUACUUUCUGGUUCCUUACAGGAAAAGCUUGCUGGUUUCUGCUUAAUACUAUCAUAAAAAACAGACAGUGAGUGGUGGUGGAGAAAACAAUGACUAUUACUGCUGUCACAGUUGAUACUGCUGCCUCAAUUCAUGUUCAAUUGCUAGAAGUUUUACUGCCUAUUUUUGCACCAUUUUUGUAAAUUUCAACAUAAU